UCGAGAAUCAUUCACAAUGGGGGAAACCCUGAUGGUGCGACGCCGCGUGGGGGAAUGAAGGUCUUCGGAUUGUAAACCCCUGUCAUGUGGGAGCAAAUUAAAAAGAUAGUACCACAAGAGGAAGAGACGGCUAACUCUGUGCCAGCAGCCGCGGUAAUACAGAGGUCUCAAGCGUUGUUCGGAAUCACUGGGCGUAAAGCGUGCGUAGGCGGUUUCGUAAGUCGUGUGUGAAAGGCGGGGGCUCAACCCCCGGACUGCACAUGAUACUGCGAGACUAGAGUAAUGGAGGGGGAACCGGAAUUCUCGGUGUAGCAGUGAAAUGCGUAGAUAUCGAGAGGAACACUCGUGGCGAAGGCGGGUUCCUGGACAUUAACUGACGCUGAGGCACGAAGGCAAGGGGAGCGAAAGGG
rnacentral:rRNA from 1 species